GAAUACAUAAUUAGUUUUCAUCACCAGAAGCCAAUAUUAUUCAUCCAUUGCGUGCAAUAACAUAAUGAAUAUUC
ensembl:snoRNA C27H5.10 ncRNA